rnacentral:rRNA from 1 species
UAAUACGGAGGGUGCAAGCGUUGUCCGGAAUCAUUGGGUGUAAAGGGUGUGUAGGUGGAGAUGUAAGUCAGUGGUGAAAGCCCGCAGCUUAACUGCGGAACUGCCUUUGAUACUGCAUCUCUUGAGUCCUGGAGAGGCUACUAGAAUUCGUGGUGUAGCGGUGAAAUGCGUAGAUAUCACGAGGAAUACCAGAGGCGUAGGCGGGUAGCUGGACAGGUACUGACACUGAGGCACGAAAGCGUGGGGAGCAAACAGGAUUAGAUACCCUGGUAGUCCACGCCGUAAACGAUGGAUGCUCGGUGCCCCGGCCUUGUGCGGGGGUGCCUAAGCUAACGCGAUAAGCAUCCCACCUGGGGAGUACGCUCGCAAGAGUG